UCAACCGUGAAGUCGAAUCUGAAAGAAGUUGGCGGCAAACCUCCGGCCUAGAGAACAUAAAUUUUAUAUAUGGUCAGCGUUCAUUAGACGAGUCUGCCUAACAAAAUAAAGUCCAAACUGCCAAAAUGAAAACAGACCAUCCGCAUGGAUUUAUCCGAAGCAGAAGUGGUGAUA
rnacentral:ncRNA from 1 species